UGACUGGACCAGAUUUCAAUGCACACCCCCUACUUCCCCAGUGAAAGUUGUGAUGAGCUGCCUUCUUAAACUGCUGCGUUCCAUGUCGUGUAGGCAGACCCAGAGAGCUAUUCGGGAGGGACUUCCGGGAUUUUGAUGCAGCAACAGGGAGGGAAUGGAUGUGUAGAUCCACAUAUUCAUAAAAUGGAGUUCCAAGUAAGAUUGGUGUGCAACGUGAAGGGGAUCUUGCGAAUAUUUUUAAUCAAACUUUUCAGAUAUGUUAAAGCACAUCCGAAGCAGGUGGGAUUUGCAUCCAGACCUUCUUCUGUAGAGCACUUCAGUGGUUGUGAAGAAUAUAAGGAAGUCCUGAGGUCAUGAGAGGAUCCCGUGGGCCUUAUUAACUACUUUCCAAGUAUUAUUAUGAACAGAUGAUCUUUGGAAUGACUACAGCGCUCCUUUGAAUCAAGAACUUGAGAUGCUGCCAGACCUGAUGACCAUUAACUGGCUGGCCCCCAAGCACUGGACUUCCCUCCUAGAUUUCUCUGAUUCUAACCUUCUAGUCAGUCCUUAAAAUCUACCUUUUAUACCAAACAAUUGAUCAUAUAGCCA